rnacentral:rRNA from 1 species
GCAGUCGAGGGGCAGCAUAAUAAAAGCUUGCUUUUAUGGUGGCGACCGGCGCACGGGUGCGUAACGCGUAUGCAAUCUACCUUGUACUAAGGUAUAGCCCGAAGAAAUUCGGAUUAAUCCCUUAUAGUAUUGUCACUUCGCAUGUUGAGACAAUUAAAGGUUACGGUACAAGAUGAGCAUGCGUCCCAUUAGCUAGAUGGUAAGGUAACGGCUUACCAUGGCUACGAUGGGUAGGGGGCCUGAGAGGGUGAUCCCCCACACUGGUACUGAGACACGGACCAGACUCCUACGGGAGGCAGCAGUGAGGAAUAUUGGUCAAUGGACGCAAGUCUGAACCAGCCAUGCCGCGUGCAGGAAGACGGUCCUAUGGAUUGUAAACUGCUUUUAUUCAAGAAUAAACCCCCAGUCGUGUAUUGGGGCUGAAGGUACUGAAUGAAUAAGCACCGGCUAACUCCGUGCCAGCAGCCGCGGUAAUACGGAGGGUGCAAGCGUUAUCCGGAAUCAUUGGGUUUAAAGGGUCCGCAGGCGGACAUAUAAGUCAGUGGUGAAAGCCCAUCGCUUAACGAUGGAACUGCCAUUGAUACUGUAUGUCUUGAAUUCGGUCGAAGUGGGCGGAAUAUGUCAUGUAGCGGUGAAAUGCUUAGAUAUGACAUAGAACACCGAUAGCGAAGGCAGCUCACUAGGCCUGGAUUGACGCUCAGGGACGAAAGCGUGGGGAGCAAACAGGAU